GACGUAGGGCGCGAGCGUUGUCCGGAUUUAUUGGGCGUAAAGAGCUCGUAGGCGGCUUGUUGCGUCGAUCGUGAAAACUUGGGGCUUAACCCUAAGCUUGCGGUUGAUACGGGCAGGCUAGAGUUCGGUAGGGGAGACUGGAAUUCCUGGUGUAGCGGUGAAAUGCGCAGAUAUCAGGGAGGAACACCGGUGGCGAAGGCGGGUCUCUGGGCCGAUACUGACGCUGGAG
rnacentral:rRNA from 1 species